UUUACAGGCUUGCGUGGAAAGUCACUAAAUUCUCACAGAAAAAAGAAAGAAAAAACUAGCAGGCAAAAGUCAGUCAAUUAUUAAGCCUUGUCUUUCACUCUCUCUCCUAUAAUCCCCAAUUUGAAACCCUAUACCUCACCUGACCAAGCGCGAUCGUCUCGCCUCUUCACUUCACAUCCACAAGUGAGCAUCAGCUGAUUUGCCUCCAUCUCUGGUAGCCCAUUAACAUUUUGUGGUCAUGAGGUUGUCUUCCCCCAAAUGAGUGCAUCUUAGAAGCCG
rnacentral:lncRNA from 1 species